AUUAGGCAUGCAAGUCGAACGGUAUAAACCUUCGGGGUUUAGAGAGUGGCGAACGGGUGAGUAACACGUAGGUAAUCUACCCUCAAAAACGGGGGACAACCCAGGGAAACUUGGGCUAAUACCGGAUGCGUGCAAGCAAUGUUUGGCUGUUAAUGCUAUUCACGGAAGUGAGUAGUGUUAAUGGUUGAGAGCAUUAUUUGCAUAAAAGGUGGCAUAUGCUGCCGUUUGAGGAUGAGCCUGCGUCCUAUUAGUUAGUUGGUGAGGUAAUGGCUUACCAAGGCGAUGAUAGGUAGGCGGCCUUAACGGGUGGUCGCCCACACUGGGAUUGAGAGACGGCCCAGACUCCUACGGGAGGCAGCAGUCGAGAAUAGUCUACAAUGGACGGAAGUCUGAUAGUGCGACGCCGCGUGAACGAAGAAUCCCUUCGGGGUGUAAAGUUCUUUUAUACGUGAGCAGUGCCCUUUAUAUGAAUAGUAUAGAGGGAGGGAUUUAAGCGUAUGAAUAAGCAACGGCUAACUCCGUG
rnacentral:rRNA from 1 species